CAUUCUUAUUAUUAGCACAAGUGGGAUACAGUGAAUAUGAUCGGCUAUAAAAGCUACCCGUGAAAAAUUGUACAUUUUAGUCGUUCUUGUUAACUCGAACCAUGAAAAACUUCAAAGGUUUGUGUGUUAUCAUUGUUGCUUUGACUUUCGCUGCCGAAGCCUGCCAAGAAGUUCCUACACCAAAUUGUAACGAUUGCUUCUGUCCAUGCAGACCCCCUGGUGGUGGUGAAGAUGAUCGCAUACGUCCGUCCCAGGAAUGCCUGGCUCUGAUCGACUGUGUCCCUGAUACUUUCGAAUGUAGUGCUGAUGUUAUGGCCUGCCAGCUACCGAAACCCGAACCAAAACCAGAAUUAUGCUUCUGUCCGUGUCGACUUCCGUUUUGCGGUCCUGAUGCAUUGUAUUAUCCGAGCCAAAGUUGUCUGGCUAGAAUAAAAUGUGCAUUUGGUCAGGUUGAAUGUAGUGCUGCGUACAUCAACGGAAGUGGAAAAUAAAUUUUGCCAAUUUUUGACGUU